ACGCCCCCCACACACACACAUGCAGUUCAGUGUUGAAGUUACGGAGCCGCAGUGCACAGGCGGAGUAAAGGGUCAUAAAGUUUGUGUGCGUCAUUGAACAUAAACCACACACCAAAUAUUCUCUAGAUAUUCAGCCAAUACAUCCUCCUGCAAGUUUGUAUGUUGCCUGCUGAAUCUCCAAGUAAAGCCUUUUCAUCUGCAACCGGCGUAUUCCUUGCUCCUCAUCUCUGAAGUGGCCGCAAGUGGUGUUCUGGCCGACACACCUGACAUGAACCAAAGAUAACUCCAGAACUAGCCCUGACACACACUGAGGUUCCUCCACUACAGAGGCACGGACGGACGGACGGACGGACGGACGGAGGCCAAACCUUUUAUCCCCCUUUUCCACUUCGUGGAGGCGGGGGAUAAAAAAGGCUAGAAAAGAAAGGUACACACAUAUUUCUAGGGGGCGGUAACGCGCCAGAAUGGUGGUUGCACCUGCCUGACCUAGAAAAUGAAAGAAGAUGGAGGACUGAUACCAAAAAGGUCGAAGUGGCGGCAAAAGUGAAGAGACGGAGGACAGUAACCAGCACAACCUCACCGUUUUCAGAGAGCCCGUGGCACGAAAAGCAACUUUUGUAGUUCUCCCAAGGAUUACGUCUGAAGCAGACAGAUCUUAUUGAAGAUGGUGUUGCAGGCAGUAGCAGGCCCUUAACCAAGAUGGCUUCAUCUCUGAGAAAAGUCUGCAAUCGUGCUGUGUGCAAACUUCGAGUUCAAGGUCAAAUGAAAGUUGGUGGCCAUCAUUGCUUUGUUAUGCUGGACGAAAGCAAGUUCUCACACAAAAGAAAGUACAACCGGGGGAGAAUGGGACCAGCAUGGAGACAGAAUAAAAAAAUGGGUAUUUGGUAUGCUGGAAGUAGCGCAGACCACCAGGAGACCCAUUUUCAAGAUCGUCGCAAAGCGUUCCAAAGAGCAGCUUCUUCCCAUCAUAUGGUGCCAUAUUAGGAGGGGAUCCAGCAUUGUGACCGAUGAGUGGAAAGCUCUAUCAGAGGAAGGUUAUGAUCACCAUACUGUCUGCCACAAGAGACACUUUGUAGAUUCUGUAACCAGAGCCCAUACACAAAACUUUAGAGAGGGCCUGGCAAACAUUUAAAUGUGAGAUUUGGCGUCAUAGAGGCAAUCGAACGACCAAGCUGUUAAAAGAGCAUUUAAGAGUAAUUGAGUGUUAGUACUGGCUUGGGAGAUUGCAUAGAAAUGGCAUUCUCGGGUGCCUUUUUCAUGAUAUUAGAAAAUUUAAUGUUCAUGAGUGUUGAUAUGGAUUUAUGAAAGGUUCUUUGUAUUGUUCUAUACCUCUUUUUAAAUAGUUGCUUGUUUGUUCGAGCACCCUGAAUAAACUUGUAUUUGUAAAUAAAUGUAUUUGUUUGUACUAUUAGGGCAUGGUCAUAUCCCAGCUGGCAAACAUACUUUAGUGUGAUCGUGCCCUUAAGGGCCAAGUGUUUACAUAUGUAUACUGUUUACCUGUAAGUGUUAAGAUGCACUUUAAAAAGCUGCUUCAAGCAAAUGUCCUUUAAUGCCCCUCUGGGGGGAGGGCGUUCCUCGGUUAAAUUUUGUAUUUUAUAUCUCUUAUAAUAGUGGCUAGUUUGUUUGACACCCUGAAUAAACUGUAAAAAUAUA